UACGUAGGGGGCAAGCGUUGUCCGGAUUUAUUGGGCGUAAAGAGCUCGUAGGUGGUUCGGUAAGUCGGAUGUGAAAUCUCCAGGCUCAACCUGGAGGGGUCAUUCGAUACUGCCGUGACUAGAGGUCGGUAGGGGAGUGUGGAAUUCCUAGUGGAGCGGUGAAAUGCGCAGAUAUCAGGAGGAACACCGGUGGCGAAGGCGGUUCUCUGGGCCUUACCUGACGCUGAGGAGCGAAAGCGUGGGGAGCAAACAGG
rnacentral:rRNA from 1 species